rnacentral:misc_RNA from 1 species
GGGCGGUGUGUACAAAGGGCAGGGACUUAAUCAACGCAAGCUUAUGACCCGCACUUACUGGGAAUUCCUCGUUCAUGGGGAAUAAUUGCAAUCCCCGAUCCCCAUCACGAAUGGGGUUCAACGGGUUACCCGCGCCUGCCGGCGUAGGGUAGGCACACGCUGAGCCAGUCAGUGUAGCGCGCGUGCAGCCCCGGACAUCUAAGGGCAUCACAGACCUGUUA